rnacentral:rRNA from 1 species
AUUGAACGCUGGCGGCAUGCCUUACACAUGCAAGUCGAACGGUAACAGGUCUUCGGAUGCUGACGAGUGGCGAACGGGUGAGUAAUACAUCGGAACGUGCCCGAGAGUGGGGGAUAACGAGGCGAAAGCUUUGCUAAUACCGCAUACGAUCUCAGGAUGAAAGCCGGGGACCGCAAGGCCUUGCGCUCACGGAGCGGCAGAUGGCAGAUUAGGUAGGUGGUGGGAUAAAAGCUUACCAAGACGACGAUCUGUAGCUGGUCUGAGAGGACGACCAGCCACACUGGGACUGAGACACGGCCCAGACUCCUACGGGAGGCAGCAGUGGGGAAUUUUGGACAAUGGGCGCAAGCCUGAUCCAGCCAUGCCGCGUGCAGGAUGAAGGCCUUCGGGUUGUAAACUGCUUUUGUACGGAACGAAAAGACUCUGGUUAAUACCUGGAGUCCAUGACGGUACCGUAAGAAUAAGCACCGGCUAACUACGUGCCAGCCGCCGCCGUAAGAC